rnacentral:rRNA from 1 species
AUUGAACGCUGGCGACAUGCUUUACACAUGCAAGUCGAACGGCAGCGCGGGCUUCGACCUGGCGGCGAGUGGCGAACGGGUGAGUAAUGCAUCGGAACGUGCCCAGUAGUGGGGGAUAGCCCGGCGAAAGCCGGAUUAAUACCGCAUACGACCUGAGGGUGAAAGCGGGGGACCGAAAGGCCUCGCGCUAUUGGAACGGCCGAUGUCGGAUUAGCUAGUUGGUGGGGUAAAGGCUUACCAAGGCGACGAUCCGUAGCUGGUCUGAGAGGACGACCAGCCACACUGGGACUGAGACACGGCCCAGACUCCUACGGGAGGCAGCAGUGGGGAAUUUUGGACAAUGGGGGCAACCCUGAUCCAGCCAUGCCGCGUGCGGGAAGAAGGCCUUCGGGUUGUAAACCGCUUUUGUUCGGGAAGAAAUCCUCUGGGCUAAUACCCCGGGGGGAUGACGGUACCGGAAGAAUAAGCACCGGCUAACUACGUG